GGACACAUGGUGUAGUUGGUUAUCACACCCGCUUUGCAUACGCCAACAUAGACGAUGUGUUCAUUCGUAGCAAUUGUAGAAGGCGACCGAUUCGAUUCCGGUCGUGUCUA